rnacentral:rRNA from 1 species
UAACGCGAAGAACCUUACCAGAUCUUGAGAUCCAGAUGAAUAUCGGGCAAUGCCGGUAGCUCUUCGGAGCAUCUGAGACAGGUGGUGCAUGGUUGUCGUCAGCUCGUGUCGUGAGAUGUUUGGUUAAGUCCACCAACGAACGCAACCCCUUAUCCGUGUUGCCAGCGCGUCAAGGCGGGGACUCGCGGAUGACUGCCCGUUCACGCGGGAGGAAGGUGGGGAUGACGUCAAGUCAGUAUGGCCCUUACGCCCAGGGCCGCACACGUGCUACAAUGGCCGGUACAGAGGGAUGCGAUGCCGCGAGGCGGAGCGAACCCCAGAGAGCCGGCCCCAGUUCGGAUCGCAGGCUGAAACCCGCCUGCGUGAAGCCGGAGUUGCUAGUAAUCGCGGAUCAGCACGCCGCGGUGAAUGCGUUCCCGGGUCUUGUACACACCGAAUC